UCCCCGUUACCGAGGCGGUCUGGCUAGAAAAAUUCAACUAACCAUAAGGGUUGCGCUCGUUAAUGGACUUAACCAUACAUCUCACGACACGAGCUGACGACGGCCAUGCAUCACCUGUCACUGGAUUCCCGAAGGCACUCUUUCCUUUCGGAAAGAUUCCCAGGAUGUCAAGUCUUGGUAAGGUUCUGCGCUUACUAUCGAAUUAAACAACACGCUCCACCGCUUGUGCGAGACCCCGUCAAUUCCUUUAUGUUUUAGCCUUGCGGCCGUACUCCACAGGCGGCUUGCUUAACGCGUUAGCUUCGCUACUACGAGGGUCGAUACUCAUAACAGCUAGCAAGCAUCGUUUACGGCGUGGACUA
rnacentral:misc_RNA from 1 species